rnacentral:rRNA from 1 species
UAGGGAAUCUUCCGCAAUGGACGAAAGUCUGACGGAGCAACGCCGCGUGAGUGAUGAAGGUUUUCUGAUCGUAAAACUCUGUUGUUAGGGAAGAACAAGUUGGGUAGUAACUGACCCAACCUUGACGGUACCUAACCAGAAAGCCACGGCUAACUACGUGCCAGCAGCCGCGGUAAUACGUAGGUGGCAAGCGUUGUCCGGAAUUAUUGGGCGUAAAGCGCUCGCAGGCGGUCUUUUAAGUCUGAUGUGAAAGCCCACGGCUUAACCGUGGAGGGUCAUUGGAAACUGGAGGACUUGAGUACAGAAGAGGAGAGUGGAAUUCCACGUGUAGCGGUGAAAUGCGUAGAGAUGUGGAGGAACACCAGUGGCGAAGGCGACUCUCUGGUCUGUAACUGACGCUGAGGAGCGAAAGCGUGGGUAGCGAACAGG